UUGAAAGGGAAACGAUUGAAGUCAGUCGUACCUAUGGGCAAUCAGCCUUUUGGGUGUGAUUUUGUGGAGCGUGAGGAGUUAAACGCCUUCAUGCCUGCAUAUUCGUGCACUUUGGGUGUACUUGCCCGUAUGGUUGGUUAACAUCAAUUUUGGUGGUCAUAAAAUGACUGGAGGAAUGUAGCUUCGAUCUCGUAUUGAAGUGUUAUAGCCUUCGGUAGAUGUGAUGAUCGAGAUUGAGGAUUGCAACGGAUACCCUUCGGGGCUACCUGUCUGAUCUCUGAUCGUUGCUCUGGUGCCGAAAGCUUGCUUACGGUUAUCAAAGUCGAUGGUCAAUAGGUUAGAACGGGUUAAAUUCGUUAAGGAUGUUGACGUA
rnacentral:rRNA from 1 species